rnacentral:rRNA from 1 species
CUACGGGCCGCUGCAGUGAGGAAUUUUGCGCAAUGGGGGAAACCCUGACGCAGCAACGCCGCGUGAGCGAAGAAGGCCUUCGGGUCGUAAAGCUCUGUCAAGUGGGAAAAAGGUCUUUCGAUUAAUACUAGAUAGGUUUGAUGGUACCACUGGAGGAAGCACCGGCUAACUCCGUGCCAGCAGCCGCGGUAAUACGGAGGGUGCAAGCGUUGUUCGGAAUUACUGGGCGUAAAGGGCGUGCAGGCGGUUUGGCAAGUCAGAUGUGAAAGCCCUGGGCUUAACCCAGGAAGUGCAUUUGAAACUGCCUUUCUCGAGUAUGGGAGAGGAGGGUGGAAUUCCUGGUGUAGAGGUGAAAUUCGUAGAUAUCAGGAGGAACACCCGUGGCGAAGGCGACUCUCUGGACCAAUACUGACGCUGAGACGCGAAAGCGUGGGGAGCAAACAGGAUUAGAUACCCUCGUAGUC